AACUGUAUGCAUAUCCGGUCAAAAGGUAAAUCAAUCAAAAUUGAAAAUUGAAACCACUAUUUCUCAAUUUCAGCCAAUUGAAUCGAUCAACACCAAUCGAAUAUGUUGCUACAUUGUUGCACCCUUCCUCAUCCACGUUAUAUAUCAUCUCGGUGCUCUUCAAUCUUUGGUACCCUAAAUACCUCUACCAUCGGAUCAUUCUCCUUCACCAUCGAUGCAAUGACAAACCCUGGCUACCACAAUCUUCAAACUCCUUCAUCAAAGAUCAUAGCAAGCCAUCACCCGCUCGGCCAUUUACCAUCACAAUCACGAUCUGGUGGCAGAGAAUCGACACUUGGUCUACACAUAUACAGUAAGAUGACUAAUUACACAGGUAUGCUCUUGAUUUUCUGGUUUGGCGAGUUGGCUAUCCCCUUUCUGGAAAAGGUCGAACUCCUCCGAGAAAAAAGUUAAAAAUCGAGAGGUGAUAUAUAUAACAAAAAAACCUUGAAAUCAGUCCAACGACUCUAAUCUCCUCAUCUCCUAGAACAUUUACAAGACUCCUUUAUUAGAUUUUUUUUUGAUGAAAACCUGCAAUAGAGGAGCCAUUAUGAGGAGGAUUCAGACCACUUUAAAAGGUAACUGUCAAAUGCGACCCUUUGUUUUUUUAUGGGAAACUACAAGAAAAGAAAGACCACUUUGUUUACAGCUGCCAAUGAUAUAUCAGAGCAACAAGAAAAGAAAUUAUGGUCCAUUUUGGUUAUUGGAACAUUGUGAGUACAAAUUUUCUUACUAUUUCUUUUACUAAAAUCAUAUCAAGAGGGUUAAAUCUUCUAUUCUCAAAUCCAAUUUCUUUUACUUUUUCUUUUACUAAAAUCACAUCAAAAGAUUGAUAUAUUGACUCUUGACAUUGGUGUGGUAUAUAGAUAUGUUUCACAAAAUCAAUAUAAGUAUCUCUAUUUACCAUUAGAUCCAACACAAAAUAAAGAGUACGUUGCAAUUUUCUCUAUUGGAGGGCCUAAUUCUCGAGUUUUGGUUAUAAAGAAUCGGAAGCAAGCUAAGCAUUAUCAUAUAUAUACAAAGAAGGUUGCUAUUUUCUGCAUUCCUUUGAGCUACAGUUCAUUGGCUAUGUUAAGUUACUUAAAGGUUUUGACACUGAUAUUUGCCGGAACCAAUCCUGGUUACACAACUUGUAAAAUUGUAAUGGAAACUGCUACUGUUAUGCAAGAAUUGACCCAGUCAAGGUAAGUAGAUUUUUGUAAACUGCCCUAAAACUUUCAUUACUUCACAUAAAAAACUUUCAUCUGUUACUGAUUUAACAAAAUUGAUUUAAAUACUUAAUUCAGUUCGAUAUAUUUGCCUUUUUCUUGUGGUGUUGUAUGACCAUAUGAUGUUGACUCCUUAUUGCUGGAUUUGAUGACAAGUAUCCUCGACUAUAAGUAUUAACAAAAUUGAGAUGCUCUUUUUCAUGAUUUAUUGCUUUAAUUGUUUUAAAAUGCAUAUUUCUUUCCUUAUUGGCAUAUAACUAAAAAAUAACAUUUUUAAAGUGCUAAUCUAUAGAGAUACAAUUCUUUUACCAUUGGCUCUAGAAUGAUCAACAUAUUAUUAGAGAUUUAGAUCACUAAAAGAAUAAAUAGAUAUAUCAUGCAUGUAGAUCCCCCAUGUUUAUACUUUCCCUCUAUGUCUCUAUCUAAAACUCGCCACUGUCACAAUGAUUGCUACUUGGUUUGGAAUGAAAACUCAAAUUGAUUGGAGUUUGGUUUAUGUAUAGUUAGGUUUCAAGAGGUCAAUCAGCUAUGUAUUCUCAUGUUAACAACAAAAGUAUCAUAAUUAUGCAAUUUAUAAUUUUUUAUAGAGCAUUUAAGAAUUUUUGUUAACAGAAAAUGGGACAUUUUGUCAUUUUUGAACUCUGCAUCCAUUAAUGGAGGCUGCAUAAGGCUGCAUUUCUGGGUCUUCAAUAUUUUAUCACAUGAUGGUGGAGGUUUUUUUAAUUUUUCAAUGUGUGCUUAUUGUUGACUGUUUGACUAUUUAUGAAAUGUCUAAAUUAGCCUUUGAUUUGUAAGUGAAUUGUUGAGGUAGCUCAUAUGGGGAGGUUUUGAGUCAAUUAUUGGUCUUGUGAAAAGGUGUCGAGGGUUUUCAGUUAAUUAGUGAUCUUGAUCUUGUGAAAAGAUAGAUUAUGAGCAAAUGGCUCUUCAUUUUGCUAAGAAAGUAAGAAUUUUACGAAGAAAAGAAGAAUUUUCAACGCUGCUGAUAUCAUUACUGCACCUUAUUGUAAAUUAGAGUAUUGUAAUAGAUAUCCUGAAAUUUAAAUACAUGUUUUAGUUUGAUGGAUGAUAA